AUAAAUUCUGAUUAAAUAGGUUGGUAAGUGAAAUUAGUAGGAUAAAUUCUGAUUAAAUAGGUUGGUAAGUGAAAUUAGUAGGAUAAAUUCUGAUUAAAUAGGUUGGUAAGUGAAAUUAGUAGGAUAAAUUCUGAUUAAAUAGGUUGGUAAGUGAAAUUAGUAGGAUAAAUUCUGAUUAAAUAGGUUGGUAAGUGAAAUUAGUAGGAUAAAUUCUGAUUAAAUAGGUUGGUAAGUGAAAUUAGUAGGAUAAAUUCUGAUUAAAUAGGUUGGUAAGUGAAAUUAGUAGGAUAAAUUCUGAUUAAAUAGGUUGGUAAGUGAAAUUAGUAGGAUAAAUUCUGAUUAAAUAGGUUGGUAGUAAGUGAAAUUAGUAGGAUAAAUUCUGAUUAAAUAGGUUGGUAAGUGAAAUUAGUAGGAUAAAUUCUGAUUAAAUAGGUUGGUAAGUGAAAUUAGUAGGAUAAAUUCUGAUUAAAUAGGUUGGUAAGUGAAAUUAGUAGGAUAAAUUCUGAUUAAAUAGGUUGGUAAGUGAAAAACUUUAGUUUUAAAACACCUUUAAAUUUGCAAUUUAAUAUCAUAUUUGAAUAUAAAGUUAAUUGAUUAAAAAGAAAAAAAUUCUUAUAAAUAAAUUUACAAUUUAUCGCUUAAUUUCAGCCAUUUAAUCAAAAUAAUUAUUUUUUUUUAAAAAAAAUAUAGAUAAAAAAAAUAAAGUUUAUAUUAAUUUUAAAUUUGAUAAAAAAAAAUUCAUAAUAAUCGAAACAAUGGUUAUUUUCUACUAAUCAUAAAAAUAUUGGUACUUUAUAUUUUAUUUUUGGAAUUUGAUCAGGAUUAAUUGGAACUUCUUUAAGAAUAUUAAUUCGUUUAGAAUUAAGACACCCAGGAGCUUUAAUUGGGAAUGAUCAAAUUUAUAAUGUAAUUGUUACUGCUCAUGCUUUUGUAAUAAUUUUUUUUAUAGUAAUACCUGUGAUAAUUGGUGGGUUUGGAAAUUGAUUAGUUCCUUUAAUAUUAGGAGCUCCUGAUAUAGCUUUUCCUCGGAUAAAUAAUAUAAGAUUUUGAUUAUUACCUCCUUCAAUUACUUUACUUUUAUUAAGAAGUUUAGUGGAAAAUGGGGCGGGAACUGGUUGAACUGUUUAUCCUCCAUUAUCAGCUAAUGUUUCUCAUGCUGGGGCUUCAGUUGAUUUAGCAAUUUUUUCUUUACAUUUAGCAGGGAUUAGUUCAAUUUUAGGAGCUGUAAAUUUUUUAACAACAAUUAUUAAUAUACGACCAGUAGGAAUAUCAUUUGAUCGUGUUCCAUUAUUUGUUUGAUCAGUAUUUAUUACAGCUAUUUUAUUAUUAUUAUCUUUACCAGUAUUAGCGGGAGCAAUUACUAUAUUGUUAACGGAUCGAAAUAUUAAUACUUCUUUUUUUGACCCGGCAGGAGGAGGUGAUCCUAUUUUAUACCAACAUUUAUUUUGAUUUUUUGGUCACCCAGAAGUUUAUAUUUUAAUUUUACCAGGAUUUGGGAUUGUUUCUCAUAUUAUUUGUCAAGAAAGAGGAAAAAAAGAAGCUUUUGGAGUUUUAGGUAUAAUAUAUGCUAUUGCUGCAAUUGGUUUAUUAGGA